GCAAUUGACAAAAAUAGCACAAAAAUAUGUUUUUCUUUCAAAUCUAUCACCACAUUUAUAAAGUUCCACUAAUAGCACUUUUAUAUAUAAAUCUAAAUUAAUUAAAAUAGAGAAAUAAUUCUUCCUUCCUCAAAACACAACCGUUUGGCACUUCUUCAUCUUUUCUCAAAACAAAAAUCGAUUUCGUUUUUCUGAAACUUUCGUCGCCUCGUCGUUUCUCUCAUCAUCUCAUCGGAUUCACGUUACUGUUGUCUCGUCACUGGUAUAUCAUUGUUUCGCCAGAGAAAAUAGAGAUUUGUAAGAUUCAAUUAAAAAUAAAGAAAAAAAGACAAAGAAGAAAGAGAGAUUUGAAAGCUAGAUGAAGAGAUGCAGAUUUGGUCAGAAGAACUGGAGUUGCAACAACACUCAAACAUUCAGGAAGGAUGUCUUGAAUUUCAGGAAGGCUUUCAUGAGAAAGGGAAAAAAACAAAGAAAACAUACCAUACAUGCCCCCACAAAGAUUUGAAACCAAGACUUUGAGUAUUGUACUAGUGCGUAAGGCAAACUUUUCAUUCAAAGAUUUUAUCAAAAUAGAUUUGAUAAAUCAUAACCCUUAGUAGUAUUAAAGCAAGUGUAUGUAUAUUUCCUUGUUUUCGGCUCAAUUCAAAGUUUUGUCGAUAGC